GUGUUAGUCACUUGUUCUUUUUCCAUAUGUGUACGCCCAUAAGACUUUGCAAAUUAUUUUUGUUUCAGAAAGAAGCAAGAGAUGCCAGUGCAUCGACUGAAGCUAAUGGCAGCGACUCAGAAGAAACUUAUGAGCCUUCUGAUGGAGAUACAACUCACGUACCUAGCACAAGUGUACGUACAUUUUUGUCACUAUGUUCUGUGUACAUAUAUAUUGUUUCAUACAUUAGUAGAAAGUUUCUUUCCGAUGAUAAAUUCUACAGGUUGAGGCGGCAGGAGAAUCCAAAUUAGUGACAGGGAUGGAAGUUGAAAUACCUGAGAAGACUCACAGUGAUCCCCCGUCACCAUUUCAAGUAGUUAACAAUGUAAGCUAACUCUUGCAACAAAUAAAAUGUACUAUUUACUGUUCAAAUGUAUAAAAUUUAUAUUAUGCAGGUCAUACGGGAGUUGGAUACCAAAGCCGUUGGUGAUUUGGCUGCAGCUACUGAUGUGGAGGUAACAAUUUGUGUGUUUCAAUUCCUAUUUUCGGAAUAGCAUGCAUAGGAUUAUAUGUGUACAUUAUAUAGAUUUGUGUACGUUAACUUGCACAGGUAGUCAUGGAAGAGCCGGGUAUUGUCGAGGGGUCUGUAGGAACUGAGGAUCCUAACCCAGGGUCAGAUGAAGCAGACAAGACCGAUAUUCCUAAAAAUAAUGUAUGUACCUAUUUUAAACAUAGAAAAACGUAUGAAACUGUUGUUGACAAUCAUAUUUGUUAAUAGGAUGAAUCAGACAAUGCUGCUGCUGUCGAAGCAAAAGAAGAAAAAAAAUCGUCCCCAAAGGUCCCAAAAAAAGUGAAGAAGCAACUUGUCUAUGAACAGGAUGAUGCACAUCCUCAUGGUUUUAAGGCAAAAACAGUCUUGGUGCCCGAUGUACCAACUCAACAGAUAGAGGUUGUUAUCAGGGCUGGAAAUGUCUCAUACAACCCCCUGGACAUGGUUGACCCUUCAAAAGUAGAGGAAUUCAGCAAUAUCAUUAAAGGACCCUCUAUGUAAGUACAUUAUAUUAAA
rnacentral:sRNA from 1 species